rnacentral:rRNA from 1 species
UACGAAGGGGGCUAGCGUUGCUCGGAAUCACUGGGCGUAAAGGGCGCGUAGGCGGCCAAGUAAGUUGGGGGUGAAAGCCCGUGGCUCAACCACGGAAUUGCCUUCGAUACUGCUUGGCUUGAGACCGGAAGAGGUGAGUGGAACUGCGAGUGUAGAGGUGAAAUUCGUAGAUAUUCGCAAGAACACCAGUGGCGAAGGUGGCUCACUGGUCCGGAUCUGACGCUGAGGCGCGAAAGCGUGGGGAGCAAACAGG